AUGGCUCCGUGUACGGAGGAAUGUCUGGAGACAGAAAGUAAAUGUGGGCUGGGCGUGUUUAAUUACAUCAGAUUGAAUUCCAAUAAUCUGCUCCAUAUCCUUGAGGUUUUUUUUUUUUUUUUUCCUGACAGCGUUCGGAGUCAUGUCUCGACACGUUUUAAUUUGAUUAGGGCGGGACAAUGUGGGGUUUCUCCCGAAACCACGACUGUAAGCAGGUGCAGUCAAAAGAGGAGCCCUGCGGAGGAUGACGACACAAUCGUGGAGCCGGAUUCGGGCGACUAUCAUGGAGUGAGUAGAUUGGUGCCUCAGGAGUGCGCCUGUGUGUUCCCGUCCCUGUAUGUUUCUGGUCGAUGCGUCUGUCACUGAGCAGCGCCUGCAGAGACGACUGAGCAAGCUCGCAGCUCCACAGCCUGCAGUAAACCCUGAGGGUAACAGAUCCUCCUCCUCUGCUCACAGCCGGGAUAAAUCCCCGAAAAUACCAAUACUGCAUCACGCCGCACAAAAUAUUAUUAUUCGCUUUGAUGGAUAACAUUUACCUGCUAAUUCAAAUUUCAUACUGUGAGUCUUUGUUUACAAUAUAAAUCUAAUUAAGUGCGGCCAUCACAGCACACGGCGGAUCGAUACACAAUAUGGCCAGCACAGCUGCUUACCUCACAAGGAUGCCUUCCCCUGCCAAUAUUUUUCAGCCCAUAAAACGGUGCUGGUUUUCUCAGUGCAGCCAAUAAUCUGUCAAGGUUAGGGCAACGAGAGACAAAACAUUACCUCAGUGGGUGACACGCCGGCUACAUAAAAACGAAUGACUAAACCAGAGUCAUGUGGUUUUAAGACAGGGUUGAUCCAUCAUUUCUUCGCCGUUAAUGGCAGCUAAUGGAGGUUUCACCUGUGGUGUUUUCAUUUUCUUUUUAUCACUUGAAUUUAAUAGUUACAUUUUAGUAACAAUGAACCAAAUAAUUAUGCACAAUGUGAAAUGUGGAUUGCUGGUGGUUGCAGUCCAACAGAUCAUCACCCAUCUCUGCAGUCCUCCUUGUCUUUAUGGAGCGUUUUAGCCUCUUUCAGGCUUAAAUUUGGCUUUUAACUCUACUAUUUUGGUUCACUCUCAACAGUGUUGUAUCCGGCCACAGCAGGCAGCUCUGAUAAAUCCACUUUACGCUACCUGCCCAGCACAGAUAAUUAGGGGUGGGCGGAUCGAACCAAAAAUAUCGAUACUACCGAUGUACUCCUUUGGUAGAUCAAGGGAUCAGUUUUUGUGCUUAUUUGUUUAUAUUUCAUCAACAAGCAGAGCUGUCUAAAAAUGUUCCUCUGCGUAGGAAAGCUGUUCACUACUGAGGCAACACCACUAAUGUAUCAAACACAUAAAAUAACAUGACAGAGAGAACAUGGAGCUGCAGCAAGGAAGAAAGGAGGAGGAGGGAAAUGCCUCAUCAGCACCAGAUAGAGGGAAUAUCUAGGUAUGUACAGUAAAAGAAAUGUUUUAUUCAAACUGAUUGAAUAAAGCAUACUAUAUUCAGAUAUCUGAAUAAUAAAUUGAGCCCAUUGGAAAUUGUUAUCUUGAUUAACUAUUUUAAUGAAACUGAAUAAAAAUAUAUAAAAAUGGCUAAUGUAUAAACAUUUUUAAAUAUAAUACAUACUAUAAUAAUAAUAAUGAUAAUACAAAAAUUAUAAUAAUGAUAAUAAUAAUAAUGAUAACAAUAAUAAUUAUUAUUAUUAUCAUCAUUUUUAUUAUUAUUAUUAUUGUUAUUAUUAUUAUUAUUAUUAUUAUUAUUAUUAUUAUUAUUAUUAUUAUUAUUAUUAUUAUUAUAUGCAAUAACCUUUUUGUAUGUACACACUUUCACUUUAAUUUAAUAAAAUACAUACUUUUGUUAUUUGUCUUUAAA
ensembl:lncRNA